UACGUAGGUGGCAAGCGUUGUCCGGAUUUACUGGGCGUAAAGGGCGUGCAGGCGGUUUGUUUAGUCUAGGGUGAAAGACCCCGGCUCAACUGGGGAGGGUCGUGCGAAACGGGUGAACUAGAGGCCAGUAGGGGGAUGCGGAAUUCCGGGUGUAGUGGUGGAAUGCGUAGAGAUCCGGAGGGACACCAGCGGCGAAGGCGGCAUCCUGGACUGGUCCUGACACUCAGGAGCGAAAGCGUGGGGAGCGAUCCGG
rnacentral:rRNA from 1 species